rnacentral:rRNA from 1 species
UUGACCUCGGAUCAGGUAGGGAUACCCGCUGAACUUAAGCAUAUCAAUAAGCGGAGGAAGGAUCAUUAGCGCG